rnacentral:tRNA from 1 species
GAGGGUAUAGCUCAGUGGCAGAGCACAUGCUUAGCAUGCAGGAGAUCCUGGGUUCAAUCCCCAGUACAUCCU